rnacentral:lncRNA from 1 species
GGAAAGACUUCCUGUGUUCUUGGAUAAGCAGAAAUAAUAUUGUCAAAAUGACCAUAUUACCAAAAACAUUAUACAGAUUCAGUGCAAUCCCCAUCAAAAUACCAAUGACGGUAUUAAAAUUCAUUUGCAAGAAUAGGAGACUCAGAAUAGCCAAAGCAAGACUGAGCAAGAAGAGCAAUGCUAGAGGCAUCGCAAUACCUGAUCUCAAAUGAUACUACAGAGCUAUAGUCACAAAAACAGCAUGGCAUUGACCUCAAAAUAGAAACAGACCAAUGGAAUAGAAUACAAGACACAGAGACAAACCCAUCCGGAUAUAGUCAUCUGAAAAUCAACAGAGAUGCCAAAAACAUGUUGGAGAAAAGAUAAGCUUUUUAACAAAUAGUGCGGGGAACACUGGGUAUCCAUAUGUAGAUCCAUAUAUUUUACCUUGCACAAAAGUCAAUUCAAAAUGCAUCAAAACCCCAGACAUUAGACCAGAAACUUUGCACCCUCUAGAAGAAAACAUAGGGUCAACAUUCCAACAUAUUGGUGCAGGCACUGGCUUCCUUAAUAAGACACCUAAAGUUCAAGAAAUAAAGCAAAGAAUCAAUAAAUGCAAUCAGUAUCUUGAAGAAAUAUAUGCACCUCCACGUUCAUUGCAGUGGGACUCACAAUUGCCAAGAUAUGAAAACAACCUGUAUCCAUCAGCGGAUGAUUGAAUAAAGAAAGUGUGAAAUCUGUCUGUCUGUCUCUCUCUUUGUGUCUGUGUGUGCACGUGUGUACAUCUCUCUAUAUAUACAUAUGGACAUACACAUGGAAGUUCUGCCAUUUGUGACAACAUGAAUGAACCUGGAAGUCAUUAUCCAAAGUGAAAUAAACUAGACACAGACAUACUGCAUGAUCUCACUUACACUUGAAACUUAAAAGUGUCAACAUCAUAAAAACCAAAAGGAGGAUGUGGCUUACUGGACCUGAGGGCUAGGGAAAUGGGAGGUGAUGGUCAAAGGGUGCACAGGGUCAGUUAUAUGGAAUGAGCCAGUCCUGGAG